UACCCGGUCCGGGUUGUAUGUGUUGAGAGGGAACCUCUGGUAAGUAGAUUUGUACUGUCACGUUCUGAUUUUCUAGUAUCUCGUACAUCCGGCAGCCUAGAGUCCGGUCUAGCGGUACCUGGCAGACUAUAAAUGGGCUAGCAGGACCCGGCAGCCUAUUUUAAGGUUACCGUUGUCUUACAUUUAUGGUACGGGGGUGGUCCUGUAAGGCUAGUAAAGCGCAGCACCCCAUAUUUUCCCCCCGCGAGGACACCACUUCUGGAUCGGCGGAGGAGGAGAGAGGGAGGGAGGGCGCGGGCGGAGAGAGAGAGGGAGGGCGCGGGGAAGGACGGGGCGGCAGCGGCAGCGGCGAGGGGCGUGAGCGAGGAGGAGGGGGGCGUAGAGGGAGGGAGGGUGCGUCGGCGGAGAGAGGGAGCCCGUGUGACCCCGUCCCCCAGAGAGGCCCCUGCUGUCCCGACGGCCGGCCUCAACCUAGCUCUAGGGCCGGGCGUAGCGCGGAACUGUUUCGUCGUCCGGUUCCGCCGCGACGGGAAGAGGCGGGACACGCACGCCUAUAGGUCGUUGAUGAUGGGGUUGGAGCCGCGGGAGGCGUUGCGGAGGGUGCAGUCGGAGUGGCUGCGGCGUAUGCAGCUCUAGAGGCUCCCGCUGAAGACUAUGCAGGAACUGCUGCACGCGGUGGAGCGGGGGCUGCAGGGCUAUUUACUACUACAUCAUUACCUACGGAAGACUUGCGAUGUACACACCAAGGACUUAACCUGGUAUAUAAAGGCGCUUCUAGAAGUUCCACUUACGAAGAAAACAGUACAAGCGAGCCAGUAGCUUGUUUGGGAUCGGACAAAGCUGACUAAAGGAAGAUACGAGC
rnacentral:rRNA from 1 species